GGACAGAUGGCCGAGCGGUCUAAGGCGCUACGUUCAGGUACUGGUUUCUCUCCGGAGCUACCACCUCCCGAUUCGUAGUCUCGAAAGAGGCGUGGGUUCGAAUCCCACUCUGUUCA
rfam:Coniochaeta ligniaria NRRL 30616 unplaced genomic scaffold CONLIGscaffold_3, whole genome shotgun sequence.